AAAUUCACUCCUCGAUUUCC
rnacentral:miRNA from 1 species